rnacentral:rRNA from 1 species
AUGUUGUCGAACUUCGUUCCACCGAAGCCGUCGUCUUGCCAGUACCCGGCCGGGGUCGAGUUAACAGAGCGGAGGCCGUUGACGUCGAUGCCGACGUGGUUUUCGUCGGCGUCGUCGAACUCCGCGUCCAUGGCGGUAUCCAGCUCGACGGCGACGAUCAGGCUCGUGCCGUUGCCCAGGCUGUCCGACGUGUUGAACAGGCCGAGGUACUUGCCGGCGACGGCGCCAGGGACAGCAAUCGACGGCGCGAGCGCGAAGGCGAUGCCGUGGCCGUGCGCGUCCGGGUACCGCGGCGCGAUGGCGACCACGAAGGAGGUGGAGAAGGAGAUGGGCGCGCCGGUGGCGACGUCCCGGAAACGGAGGGGCGCCGGGUGGAAGCCGUGGCCGAACGCCUCCUUGGUGUCGUUGGUGAGCCGCAGGAGGCCGGAGGGAGCGAGCACGGCGGCCGCGCCGGUGGUCGCCACGCUGCCUACGGCGAAGCCGGCGUACACGAACUCGUCGGCGCAGGCGGCGUCCCGAGUGAGGAGGAGGAGGACCGAAAUUAACGCGGCCAGCGCGAUCGGCAUGGCGACGACCGGCGCGAGCAAUGGGAGCGAUCGAGCGUGCGCGCUCCGUCGAGGUGGGGCAGGGUGGAGAAGUAGUCGUCGGCGGAAGUGGACGGCAUUGGAGAGGAGCACGAGGUCAAGGGUGCGUCCGCCGAGCUGA